rnacentral:rRNA from 1 species
CUACGGGCGGCUGCAGUCGAGAAUCUUCCGCAAUGGACGAAAGUCUGACGGAGCGACGCCGCGUGCGGGAUGAAGGCCUUCGGGUUGUAAACCGCUGUCAGUGGGGAGGAAAUGCAUCAGGGUUCUCCCUGGUGUUUGACCGAUCCGCAGAGGAAGCGCAGGCUAAGUUCGUGCCAGCAGCCGCGGUAACACGAACUGCGCGAACGUUAUUCGGAAUCACUGGGCUUAAAGAGUUCGUAGGCGGCCUUUCAAGUCGGGUGUGAAAUCCCUCGGCUCAACCGAGGAAUUGCGCCUGAUACUGUUGGGCUUGAGGGGGAUAGGGGUGAGCGGAACUGAUGGUGGAGCGGUGAAAUGCGUUGAUAUCAUUAGGAACACCGGUGGCGAAGGCGGCUCACUGGAUCUCUUCUGACACUGAGGAACGAAAGCUAGGGGAGCGAACGGGAUUAGAUACCCUAGUAGUC